rnacentral:piRNA from 1 species
UGCGUCCUUUGACCUUUGAUGUCCCU